AAUUUGCGUUAGGGAUUGAAGUGGCAUCCUUUUUUGUUUUCUCAAAAAAGAUAUAAUGUAAAGCCCGACCUUUA
rnacentral:sRNA from 1 species